rnacentral:lncRNA from 1 species
UCUAGGAAAAAUUAAAAAUGUCUGCGUAUAAAUUAAAUUAUACUUUGCGGCUUACUUCCGUUGCCUAGCGACAGGCGAACCGACGAAUGACGAGCCAGAUGUUUGCGUCAUUCGUCAGACACACCGCCGAAGCGAGAGAGACCGGCCGCGCAUCUGAGCGUUGGACUGUUCGGGCACCCGUCUGCCUGUUUUUCUAUUUUGGGAUUUAGCCUGGUUUGGUGGCCUCCCGGCGAAUUAUUGCGUUCAUUCUGAACUUCGACAUGGCAGCACUGCACUAUUGGACUACGGCAAGCUCACGUCGUCUGGUGGAUCUUCCUGCGGAAACUACUGCUGCUUACCUGGUGCCACAACGUUGGAUGAAUGCACAAAAAGCCCGCGACGAGCAUUUACAAAGAAUAAAAUAAACGUAAAUUUUUCCUCAUUUCACAA